GGGAGAGGGGGAGAGGUCAUAUAGCAUCGGUAUGACCUCAGCUCUUUCGCAGCAAUUAACCCCAGACAAAGAAAAAUGAACCCUGGUAAUACCUGAUGACCUUUGGUGAACUCUGCUGUCGCUGUUUGCUCUUUAGGCCUCCCAUAGUUUUGCUUGUGCAUUAAAGCAAACGCGGGUACUGCUGGCAUGUUUGCACAGUCACAUCAGGCUUAUGAUGCUUAAUACAGGCAUGAAGAAAUGUGUCAGGGCUUGAGCGUUCCUAUAUUAGAGGUCCAAAAGUACGUGGACACGUAAAUGUUCGCGUCUUAUUGUUAAACAUGUGGUUACAAUAACAACCUCUGGAGCUGAAAAAUGAAGCAAAGUGUGAACUGUCAGAACUCCCAUGUUUACUGCAGCCUUGUGGACAACGUCCUCCAGUUCUAGGGUGAAUUAUAAUUACUAUUAUUAUCAUCAUUAUUUUAAUAUUAUUAUCAUUUUAAAUUCAUAUGGGUGUGUGGCCACUUUGAUUGACCAAAUUAGCCAUUCAGUACCGGCUUGUCCUCACCUUUGUUAAUCUGAGUCGCUAAACUGGACUUCUCAAUUGUAGUUGUGCUGUCGGUGUACUUUGAGCAUUUCUAAUGUGCUUACUGGACAAAUGAAAUAGCUUACAUUGCGAUACAGCCCAUACAAGAAGACUUUGCUUCCACUGUGAUGUAUGAAUUUCAGUAUUUCAUUUGUAUCUCAGCAGAUGAGUGGGUCUGUGUGUUGAGGUGGAGUGCUAAGUAAUCAGCUUACUAUGAUGCUUCAAAAUGUGGAGCCCACAGCCAAUGGGAGAGGUCAUGGUGGCUACAUCCAUCCAUAUACAGUCGAUUACAUCAUCAUGGGUACCAGCAGAUUUUGGAACCCAGUAACAGAAAUUUGCAGUUGUUUGGUAACAAAGCCUGUCAUGUGGUCCAGCUUAUCCCAAAGGUGUGAGCUGUGGUUGCGGUCAGGCUCAGGUUACAGCAGAGUGGGAAAACCAUUUUGAGAAAAUCUUUCUUCUUAUGUUCUUUUUUCAAGUAAAGCACAGAGUCAAACUAUGAAGUUCAAAAAAAUCUGAAAAAAAAUGUUGAUUAGUUCAGAUACAACCAGCCAUAUCAUAUACGGAACAGUCAUUUCAGACUUUUUUGCAAUGUUAGGUAAAAACCCCACGUCAAAAGGAGAACCAGCAAGAACUUGGCAACAGUCAGUGUUGGGUGGAACACAUUGCUGUAAUCACAUUACAUCUUUCAGUAAUGCAGAAAUUAAAUGUGGGUGUAUGCAGACUCCAGCCCAGCAGCCAGAGACUGAACGUCAGCAGGUAACAGAGGCAGUGAUGAGCAGUCAGGGUUACACCUCAGUUUCUACCUGUUCAUGUUUCUAAACUAGAAUCAUUGUGGCGAUGGCUUUGAAGUCUCUUUUCCAUCUUUGCUUUGUGCUGUGUUCAUAUGUAAAUACUGAAGGAUCGUAUAUCCUCAUCAGGAAUAAGGAUUUAUGUUGGUGUGUGGGACUGUAGCGUGAGGUUUACAUUAACUGGUGAUUAUGAGACAAUGUGUUUCAGAUACGCCUGCAUAGUAACAAGAAAUUAAUAAAUGAGUAGUGUAACAAAUUACUUUCUCUGGUGAGCAUACUGCAUUACUUUUAAGAAACAUGACAAGUAAUGUGUAAUGCAUUACUUUUUUUAAGUAAAACAGGGUUCCAGUGAGGAAGGAGAAAUUCUUUUUACUAUAAAGACCCCUGAGCCAACAGAGCCAGGCUCAGGGAAAGGCAGCCAUCUGGGCCUACAGCAGCAUAACUAAGGGAGGGUUUAGGGUCACCUAAUCCAGCUUUAUUAAAAAGGGAUGAUAAUCUGAGGCUAAUAUUAAAAGUAGACACAGAUUUUUAUUUAUUUAUUUAUUUUUUGGAGGGGGGGCACGAUCUAAAACAUUGCAUGACCAUAAGUGUUUGGUGUCUCAAACAAGCACUUCCUGCUCCCUGGUGGAACACGUGAACCCCAAAAUCCACCACCACCCAUCAGCCCCUAGCAGAACACAGGUGUCUCUGCAUGCAGUGCACUCACAUCCUGCUGCUUUUAAAUAGAGGGAGCUUUCCAGUUACAGAAAAAGAGUAUAUCUGUGUUUAUUUCUGAUUCUGCCAAAGUAUAGAAUAUUAGAUAUUCCAGAAUAAAUAUAGAUGAUAAAAAUAUUCAGCUGGGCCUGAGAGAAAGAAAUAAAACAGCAAUUUAAUGUAUAAUCUUUUUAUGGAGCUUGAGUCAGCUGCAGUUCGUCCUUUCAGUCAGCAAACACAGACAUGAGGAGCUUUAUAAAAAAAUCUGAUGCGUUAUCAAAUAUAAGCAUCUCUAAGGGAAAGGAUAUUGAUCAGAAACUGUAUUUGACAUUCAUAGCUGAGUGCAACUUAAUGCAUAUGUAUCUACAGUUUUCUUUCCUUUUUCCGCCUUCAUACUUCUGUGCAGCUUUUACUAAUAAAACGCAGCAAGUUUACCUCUCAAAAUCAUUCGUGAAAACUGUUUUAGGAUUAAAACGCAGACCUUAAAUUAAAAAUGUGCUUUUUGCCAUUUCAAAAUGUUUUACCACCAAAACAAAAAAACAUUGGUUUACCCUUGAUGUAUUAUUAACAGCUAAAGUGCCCUACCAUAGUUUGCUUCUGAAACACUUUAUAGACUGAUUCAUGACUCCAACACAUAAACAUCUCCCAGGAACGGUUUAUUUUUAAAAUACACAUUGGUUUACUACUGACAGGCAUUAUUUAUGUAUGAAAUCCACAGCUGUACUUAACAGUGGAGAAAAGUUUGCUUUCCUAAAACGCAGACUGUCUCAAGUCGUCAGACUCUUAAAGCUGAACUUAUUUAUAGUCAUUGCUUAACAAUGACACGAGUCGUUGUGACAUACCUUUGACAUACACGUGUUACCAACUCUCGAGCCUUACUCAUGGGUUGUUUUGGCGCUCUCACCUGAAGCUUAAAUUCACUUUAAAGAAGCAAAAAAGAAGCAAUCUAAUCUUCCAAGGCUAAGAUAAAGAAGGAUUAUGUUGAACUCUAAAUCAUGAAAAGUCACUCAAAUUUCAACACAAAGAUCAAUGGAUAAGCAACAACCAGCUCUUAAGUGGAUGCUGUUGCUUUGUACAACAGUCCAGAGUUGUUCAUUAGAUCAGCUUUAGGAGAGUACAGUUUGAGACGCAGUCUGUAGUUCCUACUUUUAAAACAUUUUCAUGAACAGCCCUGAUCCAGCUGUGGAACUCUGGUGGUCCCUUUAUGGAUCACGUCUAUAUCUGUGAGUUCAGCUGAACGGUGGAUUUUACAGUUUGAACAAAAGGUGAAUGUUUUUGGUUUGCGAGUUACUCGGUUUUGCAAAAGGUUCACUUUGUUCUAACACACAACGGGAUUGAUUUAAUUCAGCAUUUUUCCCUCCUCGGGCUGACUCUGUCAGCGGUGUCGUGAGUCUGUCGGUAACAUAACGACUCAGUGAAUUCAUCUUUCCUCUCUCUUUCUUCUGUCCACUUAUAUUUAGACCGGAACCACUUUGUGGCUCUCGUGUAAUCAGUGUUUUUAUAUCUGGGGCGUUUGCAUUGAUAAUUGUGUUUAAGUCACAGAAAUAAACGGCAGCUUUCAAAGGGAAACAAGAGACCUCUGUUUAUUUUUGAAAUUCUUCAUAACUGCCACAUCUCUGCUUUGCCUGAUCUAUUUAAGGGUCAGUUUUACGCUCAAUGUUGACUUUUGUAAACAACUUUAAAGAGGCUGAACUAAGUGUACUUGAACCGUCAUGACUUUUACCACUUUGAGCACCAGAAGCCUGGGUCCUACAUUGAAUAUUACUGCAUCAGACUCUAAACUCAUGUUUGAGGUUUAGUUAUUAUUUUUGAUGAAAAGACCAUUUGGCCACCAUUUGAACGCCAUUGUCACCAUGCUAAUUUGAUUUGCGUGACGGUAACCGGUGGAUUCUUUGACUUGCACUUCUGGUGUGCAGAAGUCUACAGAAUAAAGGCGGGCGAUCACAUGAGAGCUGCAGACGAGUUCCACAUGAAAUCACGUGAUAGACUUUGGAGUGGCUUGCUGUUUUUUGGUUGUGUAUUAUACUGAGGCUGGAGUCUCCGCAGUCGAAGCUUCAGCUGAGCAUGAAACAAACCAACUUUAUAAAUAUUAUACAUUUUUGUUGUUGUCACAGUUGUUUUAUCAAUGUUAUGGAAUCAACACUGCUAUAGACAUACUGUAUGAAUAUAAUUGGUUGUUGCUGUUUUCUUACCAGACGCGGCAUGUAAAUGAUGAUGAUGAUGAUAUCUGUUUUCUGAGCAGGCAGACUGGACUCUGUGUUUUCUAUUUCUUUACUCCAUCGUGACUGAAAGCCAGACCCGGCAAGCUGAAUGGAGAAUGUGAAAGUUUAGUUAUUUUGCGAUUACACAAUCAAUAAAAUUAAAUGUUGAUUUCCCAAAACAUAAAACAGUUGAUCUCGACAAUAAGACGAGAGCCACGUCUUGGUUUGCGUGAAAUGGAUCUUUGUCGACGGUGCCUGCAGACACCUUUACCAUUAUGCGAUCUCUUUGGGUGAUGCAACAAAAAAAGGGGAAGAAUACAAAAUUACAGAAUCACGUACUUAUCUCACGUAACUACGUCGAUUUUUCUGGUAAUGAUGAGCAAAGGAUGUGACAUCUGGAGAGAAACUAAAGUAAACAGAAUUUCUUGGAGCUCCUAAAGUGCUAAUCUGUGCUUUUUAUUGGAGAUAACUAUUGUAUAAGGGGUUUUUUGUUGUUGUUGUUUUUCUUUUUUUUUUGAGAAAGGCAAAGUUAUUUAUUUGAGAUGUGGUUGUGAGAAUUUUUUAGGGUCCUAAAAUUAUUUUGUUGUAACCUUGGAGGUAAAAAUCCCAGAAAACAAAUUCUAAACGGUGGCAUUGGGCUUCCUUGUGUGAAGAAUGUUGUAAAGAUUCAUAUUGUUUUAGAAGAGAAGAAAACAGCAGGACAGAACCGCCGAAUCACUUUUCGUCUUUACAGGAAGUCCACGUUUGUAGCCUAAUUGUUGGUUGGUUAUAUUUAUAUAGGAAAAAUGCUAGUGAUGCCUUGUUUUUUGUACAGUUUUAUGUACAUGCAAGUGUAGGUUUUUAAAAAAAAAAUGUCAAUAAAAAAUAUAUAUAUAUUCAAACAACAUGAAGGAAGUCUGACCUUGAACCUGUAGGAUUAUAUCGUCUCAAGUACCGUAGGCUCUAUUAAAUGUAGGAGUGAUGCGUCAGGCUCAGAGCGGAGGUUGGCAGUGCGCCUCCUCCAGUCACCCGUCUGCUUUACCGCUUUCUGUUCUCUCAUGUUCAUCUCAGCCGAGUCUUAAGACAAACUGUACAUGAAUUUUUGUUGUUUUCAGUCUUUUAAUUUUCUUGGAGGAAGUUGGGUAAUGUGUUUGUUUGAGCCUCAUCUGUUCUCUUUUGAUCAACAUUCGCAUGUUUGAAUUUGAAAAAAAAAAUGUGGUCUUUUAUUUUUGCUGAGCAAAUCAAAGAAAUGAUAUCUUGUAAUUACUCCUUCCUUAUAGCUUUACAAUAAAAUACAUCAGUCAAAGAAA
ensembl:lncRNA